rnacentral:rRNA from 1 species
AACGAACGCUGGCGGCAUGCCUAACACAUGCAAGUCGAACGAGACCUUCGGGUCUAGUGGCGCACGGGUGCGUAACGCGUGGGAACCUGCCCUUAGGUUCGGAAUAACUCUCCGAAAGGGGUGCUAAUACCGGAUAAUGUCUUCGGACCAAAGAUUUAUCGCGUUUGGAUGGGCCCGCGUUGGAUUAGCUAGUUGGUAGGGUAAAAGCCUACCAAGGCGACGAUCCAUAGCUGGUCUGAGAGAAUGAUCAGCGACACUGGGACUGAGACACGGCCCAGACUCCUACGGGAGGCAGCAGUGGGGAAUAUUGGACAAUGGGCGAAAGCCUGAUCCAGCAAUGCCGCGUGAGUGAUGAAGGCAUUAGGGUUGUAAAGCUCUUUUAACCGGGAUGAUAAUGACAGAACCGGGAGAAUAAGCUCCGGCUAACUCCGUG